rnacentral:rRNA from 1 species
AGAGUUUGAUCCUGGCUCAGAACGAACGCUGGCGGCACGCCUAACACAUGCAAGUCGAACGAUAAGCACCCUUCGGGGUGUGGACAGUGGCGGACGAGUGAGUAUCGCGUGGGAACCUACCUAUCAGUACGGAACAACAGUUAGAAAUGACUGCUAAUACCGUAUACGCCCUUUUGGGGAAAGAUUUAUUGCUGAUAGAUGGGCCCGCGUUAGAUUAGCUAGAUGGUGAGGUAAUGGCUCACCAUGGCGACGAUCUAUAGCUGGUUUGAGAGGAUGAUCAGCCACACUGGGACUGAGACACGGCCCAGACUCCUACGGGAGGCAGCAGUGGGGAAUAUUGGACAAUGGGCGAAAGCCUGAUCCAGCCAUGCCGCGUGGGGGAUUGAAGGCCUUCGGGUCGUAAACCCCUUUUCUGAGGGAAGAACAAGCCCGCGAGGAAAUGCGCGGGGUCUGACGGUACCUUAGAAUAAGCAACGCUAACU